rnacentral:rRNA from 1 species
UACAGAGGGUGCGAGCGUUAAUCGGAGUUACUGGGCGUAAAGGGCGCGUAGGCGGUUAUAUAAGAUUGGUGUGAAAUCCCUGGGCUUAACCUAGGAACUGCAUCGAUAACUGUAUGACUGGAGUAUUGUAGAGGGUAGUGGAAUUCCGGUGUAGCGGUGAAAUGCGUAGAGAUCGGAAGGAACACCGGUGGCGAAGGCGGGAUCCUGGACCGAUACUGACGCUGAGGAGCGAAAGCAGGGAGCAAACGG